rnacentral:SRP_RNA from 1 species
CCAUACUGGCCGGGGCGGUAGCGGUGCCUUGUACCUGAAAUCCGCUAUAGCAGGGGUGAUUUCCAUUUUUGAGGGCUCUUUCUGUGUAGUCUGCACCGUAUGCGGCCUGCGUUGAAGGAUGGGUCUUGCGCAAUUGGGGGCUGUGAACCAUGUCAGGUGGGAGACCAAGCAGCAUUAAGCGGAUUCCCCGAUGUGCCGCGAGGGUGCCUGUCCGGAGCGGGCGGUGCGGUUCCCGUAUGUAGGGAGAUGUUCGAUCUUAUGGUGUAUGG